rnacentral:rRNA from 1 species
CAGCCGCCACGGUAAUACGAAGGGUGCAAGCGUUACUCGGAAUUACUGGGCGUAAAGCGUGCGUAGGUGGUUGUUUAAGUCUGCUGUGAAAGCCCUGGGCUCAACCUGGGAAUUGCAGUGGAUACUGGGCAACUAGAGUAAGGUAGAGGAUAGUGGAAUUUCCGGUGUAGCAGUGAAAUGCGUAGAGAUCGGAAGGAACAUCUGUGGCGAAGGCGACUAUCUGGGCCAUUACUGACACUGAGGCACGAAAGCGUGGGGAGCAAACAGGAUUAGAUACCCCCGUAGUCCCUGUCUCUUAUAC